GCCGCGGUAAUACGGAGGGUGCAAGCGUUAAUCGGAAUUACUGGGCGUAAAGCGCACGCAGGCGGUCUGUCAAGUCGGAUGUGAAAUCCCCGGGCUCAACCUGGGAACUGCAUUCGAAACUGGCAGGCUAGAGUCUUGUAGAGGGGGGUAGAAUUCCAGGUGUAGCGGUGAAAUGCGUAGAGAUCUGGAGGAAUACCGGUGGCGAAGGCGGCCCCCUGGACAAAGACUGACGCUCAGGUGCGAAAGCGUGGGGAGCAAACAGGAUUAGAUACCCUGGUAGUCCACGCCGUAAACGAUGUCGAUUUGGAGGUUGUGCCCUUGAGGCGUGGCUUCCGGAGCUAACGCGUUAAAUCGACCGCCUGGGGAGUACGGCCGCAAGGUUAAAACUCAAAUGAAUUGACGGGGGCCCGCACAAGCGGUGGAGCAUGUGGUUUAAUUCGAUGCAACGCGAAGAACCUUACCUGGUCUUGACAUCCACAGAACUUUCCAGAGAUGGAUUGGUGCCUUCGGGAACUGUGAGACAGGUGCUGCAUGGCUGUCGUCAGCUCGUGUUGUGAAAUGUUGGGUUAAGUCCCGCAACGAGCGCAACCCUUAUCCUUUGUUGCCAGCGGUCCGGCCGGGAACUCAAAGGAGACUGCCAGUGAUAAACUGGAGGAAGGUGGGGAUGACGUCAAGUCAUCAUGGCCCUUACGACCAGGGCUACACACGUGCUACAAUGGCAUAUACAAAGAGAAGCGACCUCGCGAGAGCAAGCGGACCUCAUAAAGUAUGUCGUAGUCCGGAUUGGAGUCUGCAACUCGACUCCAUGAAGUCGGAAUCGCUAGUAAUCGUAGAUCAGAAUGCUACGGUGAAUACGUUCCCGGGCCUUGUACACACCGCCCGUCACACCAUGGGAGUGGGUUGCAAAAGAAGUAGGUAGCUUAACCUUCGGGAGGGCGC
rnacentral:rRNA from 1 species